AUGCUGCGUUGGAAGGGAAACUUUUGCUUAAAAUAUGAAUAUGUUCGUUUGAGAACAGGAUUCAAGAACAGUAUGUACACAGUCCCUAGAGGCAGUUUACUGCAACCUUACAGUGGAAUGCUGAUUGGCGAUGGCUGGAAAACUGAUCUUGGGGAACAUCAAUUAGGAUCCACCCCCUAUGCUUCAGCAUCUCUCCUCCCUUUCAAUUUUUUUAAACUCUCAUUUUGCACAUGGAUACACAUUUCUUAGGAUGAGGCUUGGAAGAUGGAUGAAUAGUUUCCCAAACAAGCACCCUUCAUGGUGAUAGACAUAGCUGCAGGCUGGGAUGUGAAUGUCAGUCUAACAGGUCAAAGGCAUGCAUUUUGGGAAUGGUGGAAGCAUAUGUUGGAACCAGAACUUGGAAAAAUUACUUUAUGAUCUAUAACACACAACAUUCUCUAUUCGUGAUGGGGGGCUGGGAAAUUUAGAGAGCUUUAACUGUAACACACAGUCUGUUGUAGCAAUAUAUUAUACCCCUUUUCAGAGCCAAAUUUGACAAAUUUCAUCUUCAAAACUACUCUGUGUCCCAGUUGUCCCUCCACAAUAGCAAUUUUGACUUUAGCAGUUUUCUUUAUUCACAGAUUAGAUUAAAAGUGCUUUCUCUAGGAAUCUCUUGGUCCUAGAGUGUGACUCUAUAGUCAAGUCUUCCAGUCAUGCUGGCGGACUAUGAGAUUUCUUGAGAGAACACCUCUAGGAAUUUCUAGGUCCUCAAAGGCAAUUAUAUGGCCAGCUUUCAGUGGAAGUCAGCCAUAGACUCUUGCUGGAAGACCUAAAAAUCCCUAGAAAGGUGUCCAUUCAGUAAGAAAAUUGUGAUUUCUUUUAUUCAGUUUUUACUUUCACUGGGGCCCUGUGCCCCUAACUCCAGGGAACAUGCAGGGCUGACUGUAUUCAUUGCUCCUACUGAUUCUCAAUAAAAGUGAUCUAAAUGUUACAUUCAGUUAUCAAAAUUCUUUUGAGAUGUUGGAUUUGGCUAAAUGCCAACAUAGAUGUGAGGCAUUUGUUGUGUUGUGGCAGAGGCGAAGCUAUGAUUAUCUUCUUCCAGUUUUAAAGAUACUUUGGAAAGCAAAUAAGAACAGACCUAGUUUUUGCUAUUUAUUUCAGGCAGUUAGGAGUAACCUUCUGUGCCUACAGAUUUCUUUCAAUAGUAUAUGAGAUUGGAAGUUUUCUCAUUUUUCUUUAUUUGACUUCCCCUUGUUACACUUUCGACACAAAUUGCUACCCACUGAGUAUCAACAAAAUAUAGUUCUCCAGAUGAACAAUGUUGUUAAUACCAUGUACCUUAAAAUACCAUCCCCCAAAUGUUUAGAAAGGAAACAAGAAGGUGAAUAAAGAAUUAAAGGGAAGGAAACAAGAAUACUGAAUUUCUGGGAUAUUUCUAAUACAAGCAUCACAUAGUUCUAGCAUCCUUCCAGGUGCCCACAUGGUUAGAAUGAGAGAACAGUCACAUUCAUCUUAUCUCAUUUCUAAGUCUGAAGAACUUUGCUAAAUCUUUUGAAUGUGACCUUCUUUCCAUAUUUUCUAUAGAAUAUUAUUUUGUAUGAAUCUUUAGCAAGUCCUGUUCCCACUGGAUAGUAUUUGGGACAGCAUGGUUCUGUAAUAUUCUGUUCUUGGCUGUUACAAGGAUUGUGAUUAUACAAUCACAGUUAUAAAUAUGCAUAAGUGGCUGGAUAACCUAUUGAACCUGUAAAUUGUAAAUUCUGUUGUCUUGCAGUUAAGAAUGAAACACAGAAAUUGGCAGACUUCUGGUCUUUUAGGGACCAUGUUUUGUUUUUGCUGCGUGCUUGAGUUUUGUAUCUGUGUCCUGCAUGCUGUUUCAGUAUUGUGAAUGUCUCUUUUUUAUACUAGAUAGGUUUUCUUUUCAUUAUUUUUAUCUAUGUUGCAAUUUAUACUUUCAAUAUCCAUUGGUCAGACUGGGGAAAAUUACAUUUAAUUUUCCAUCAAUCUUGCAUCCAAUCCUCCAACCCUUUUCUGUUCACCAUGAGACACAAGUUCUUCAUCUAGUGAAUGAUAAACAGCUAAAGCAUGUAAUGGUACACAUAAAUCCUUUUUAGAGUGAGUCUUUUAUUAUUUAUUAGAUAUAAUAUAAUGUGUGUCAUUGGAAAGGCAAGCUCUAUAUGCAUGUUUAUCCCUUACCUUAUCAUGAUAAAAACAUUAUUCUUAAAUCUGUUAAAACUACUGUAAUUUGCUGCCUGUGUGAAAAUUUGUCCUUAGUAUGGACUGACACUCUUCUAUCUCCAGAAUAAUUUCUUUACUCUCAUAAAUAUAAUACUGAAAUUUAGCAAGCUUCAUUUCCACAUUUUUCUUACAUAGUUUUGUUUUCCCCUCCAUCUGCUCGAACAUUUCUCUGUAUCUGCGGAGGAUGUAGUCUUUCUCCUUUUGUCCUUGGCUGAUGGAAUCAUUAGCAGAUAGAAGCUGCUUUAUUCAGUGAUUAAGGCAAAAUUUUAGGGAGCCCUGAUGCUAGAUGCUAUUAUUUUGGUUGCCAUUGUCCUACAGUAUGACAUUUGCUCUGAUUCUGACAUAGUUGGUACUUAUGUACCCUAAACACAUAUAUUUGAAACUAGACAAAUGUGGUUCUUCAGACAUUUCCGACUACAACUCCCUUAAUUUUUACCAUAGGCUUUGCUGGCCAAGGCUGCCAGGGUUUUAAGCUAAAACCAACUGAACCAAAUUUGCCCAAUUCCGUUGUAAAGGGCGUACAUUAGGAAUUAGGCAUUUGUAUUUCAAAAAAAAAAUCUAGCUUCAUGCUAGUAACAAAACCAACAUUUGCAAAAAUCUUGUGUUUACUAUGUAGACAAAGUUAGUUCAGUUAUGUUCUGAAAUGAAUUAUUUGCAAUAUCAUAAGACUCCACACUAUUCCCUUGGAGCAUUUUCUGUAGAGAUCAAAUCGGUGAUGUAAUAUAGCUAUUGUUUAGUAAACAGAAAGUUCUGUCAUUCUGAAUCAGACCAUUGGGCAGUUUCCAGGAUUUUGAGUUGGAAUUUUUUUCCUAGUCUUUCUUAGUCUUCUUUCUUUUUCAGACUAAGUACUUACCUAUCCUGCUUAGCUUCUAAAUCAGAUGAGGUACUGGAUGCUGGUAGCCUCCAUUUCUUUCCCUGUCUUUUCCCCUGUCCCCUCUUGAAGGCUAUGCACAGUGGAACCUCAACUUAUGAGUAUCCCAAGUUGUGAGCUUUUUGAAUGUGAGCCAUCGCACAUCUGAUUUUUUUAUUUGACAUGUGAGCCAGAUCCGCGUUAUGUGCCUUCCCCUUUCCAAAAUGGCAGCUGCGCUGGGAGACUGAUUCAGGCCAAGCUUACAGAGAGGGAGGGAGGGAGCU
ensembl:lncRNA